GCCGGCUAAAAGUCGGAGGAAGGUGGGGAGUGACGUCAAAUCAUCAUGCCCUUAUGACCUGGGCUACACACGUGCUACAAUGGGCGGUACAAAGGGUCGCGAACCCGCGAGGGGGAGCCAAUCCCAAAAAGACCGCUCUCAGUUCGGAUUGCAGGCUGCAACUCGCCUGCAUGAAGCCGGAAUCGCUAGUAAUCGCGGAUCAGCAUGCCGCGGUGAAUACGUUCCCGGGCCUU
rnacentral:rRNA from 1 species